GGAUCAGCUUGCAGAGCUACUGGCUUGGCACAUGCUGCUGAUACACCAGUAUGUGGAUCUCGUUGUGCCGAUGAUAAUGGGCCUUGUGCUGAAGAAGGAUUGGCACACAUCGAUGCUUUGUUUCUUGACCUCUUGUUGGCCAUUAAUCUGAGGUAAAGUUUAGCAACAACUUUUUAGACAAAUGCCAGUCAAAGCAGCCAUGCCAGGUUCCCCAGCCUUUUGCUUAUCAUCAGCAGAAAAUUAAUUGAUUAAGUUAUGCACCAGAAAUUAAGAAAUGAAAAUAAAGAGAGAAAGGGUGUAAAAGAAAAGCAUUAUGAGUAUCAAGCAAUACGUAGCACAAUAGAGGUGAAGUGGAGGACAACCAAGAGGCUAAUAUCACAAAAGAAUUGGUGAUUCAAAAGAAAAUUUCAUGACUAGUUUGUGGAGAUUUACCUUGAGAGUGAAAUUCACUGCAUGAACUGAGAAACGAUUGAGGAAUGCGAGCAGUGCUGGAGAGAUAUUAAGACUGCCAUACACCAAAUUUAUGAACAAAAAAAAAUUGUGAAUAAAUUCAUGACAAACCAAUGAUGUAUAAACAAAAGUAAUAAGUAAUGGCAAAUAUCAAAGGGUGUUUUGUUUCUUUUAAUUUUUUCUCCUUUC